UACAUCAAGAACCAUCCUUGGAAGGCAGUGGCUACAAACCAAAGGAGGACAGAUAAGCAGGCUGCCCUGGACACAAGGCAAAGGCUUUUGCAAUGCAGUUGUCAGCAGCAGUCAUGCAGCAGUAAGUGAUGGAGGCCUGAGAAGUGACCUGUUACCAUCUAAUCUCAGCAGUCACCAUUUGCCUCUCCACUGUCCCCUCCACGCCUCUGGUGAUGGCUUAGUGACUCUCCUUGCCCAGCAGCAGGUGCUCGGAACAUAUUUGGAAGAUGAGUCCCCUCGUAUCAGUGCACAUUCCUCAGCAAAAAGUCACAGGCUGCAAAACU
rnacentral:lncRNA from 1 species